UCCCUAUUAAUCCACCAGAGAAGAAACAAAGUACGAAUCAGACAGUCUACUAGUUUUCAUACUACUGUGAAGUGUGAAGUGUGAAGUGUGAACAAUAAGCAUGCACACGAACGAAGCACAAAGGUUUAGUUUGGGAGUACAAAGAAAUAAUCAGUAUAUAUGUAGAUCAAAUACCACAAAAGAAGAAACAGAAGCAAAUCCCAAGGUCUUGUAACGGCCGAAAUAUGUAUCGCAUAGGAAGGCUCCUAGCAAGGUAGCAACGUUGAUGGUGCCAUUGAAGAUAUUGACAAGAUUUGUAGCUGUGAUGCUUUUCAUGUUGAAGACUGUGGUGAGAUAGACCAACAGGUUGGAUGAGGUUCCCAGUGUUCCUAGCUUCUCAAAGGUCUCAUUCCCUGCAAUAUAUAAAUAACUGGUUUCAACUACAUACUUGAUGAAUUCAGACCUUAACAAAUUAAUCUCGAAACAAGUUCCCAUUUCCUUACCUAUAACAAAGGGCAUGGCUUUGAUCCCACUGUACUUAACUUCAGGCUCAUCUGAGUUUGUAACUGCAGCCUUCUCAUCCUUCUCAUCCAUGUUUCUGCUGGUGAGCUCUUUCUCUGUGUUGGUUUGCAUAUCAUACAUGUAUAACACAGAUCUAGCUAGUUUUGAGGGAGCUAGCUAUAGAGCUCGAAUGGUAUGAUCUCUGGAGGUGCUAGCUUCCCACUUAUAUAUAUGUAAGCUUGAUCUUCUUCCUCGCUCGUGAUAUAAAUAUACAAGAGAGAAUGGGAUGGGGUAUGUCUCAUAACUACAUGAUGCUGAUACGUUUCUCACUUUGUUGAUUAAUCUUUGUCUGGUAGCUACAAGCUAACGAGGAUAGCAAUAGCAAUUAUCAUAUCAAAGUUGCAAAUCUUGACUGCAGUCUCUGCAGCCUCAAAAUCUGGGAGUGACGUUAUGAAUGUGAACUCUAUUGUACAGCAUGUUAAAUCUUUUCCGGCAGUACUGGGUGAUGUUAAAUCUUUUCACACGUACACAAUAUGAUCACUGAUGCAUGUCAAUUCUUAAUUACCUGGACAAAUAGGAAGAAGAAUACUGAGCUAAAACGACGAGCACAAGCGAGUAAAAGAUCUAUAUAGACAUAUCAUUUUCACCGAUCAGGUAGUGAUCGAUGAACAAAAUCAAAAUUAGCUUUGCUUUCUAUAUAUUUAUAGAAAUUGCUCAAGGAUGUUUUUUCCGUUGAGAUUUAAACCAUGUGGAUGGAUAAUUUUGACGUCGAGUGCUAUAUAUACAAAUAUAUAUCUUUCGACUUCCAAGUCCUUGUGUACGUCAGCUGGGUUGUGAGCAAUGUUUUAAAAACUCUCUAACCGACGGCCUAGCCUCCUCAAUUAGUCUGAGCCGAAGGGAUCAAUUAGGAAAUUAUAAUCUUAAUCAUAGAACUAUAAUGAAAUAUACGAAACUCCACACAUCCGUUCAAUGACUUCAAUCUAUAGUAUUUGGGGUAUUUCUGUUUGUUUGAGCCGUACUAGAUAGAUGAAAUUUUCAUAUAUAGUGUCUAGCUGCAGCUGAGUCGGGUAUAAUAAUUGCUUAAAAUAUUUAUUUAUGUUAAUCAAAUACUUAACAUAUAACCCACCUCAUAUAAUCGAAUUGGUAAGAGCUAGCCUGUGAUGAAACGUAUUGACGCUAGCCGGCCUACCGCCUAGCGGUUUUUAUGACAUUGUUGUAAGAGAUGGACCAUGCAGAAGAACAAUACAACACUUACUUGCUUCAAGUGGAAAAUCAGAGACGAAUUCAUUUCGAGAAAGAAAUACUAGAUAGAUAUAGGAAAUACCAAUUUCCUUGAGCACCGACUAUAUAUGGUAAUAUCUUCUCAAAAAAUUAUAUAUGGAAAUAGAAUCACAAUGCAAAUGGCUUUCUUUAGUUAUGGGCAAAUUAAACUUUUCCCCUAAAAAGGUAAUUAUGGGCAAAUUAAGGUUACUAAGGAUAUUUUUACCCAUUAAGUACUCCGGAGGUUAUUGAACUCCGGAUUGGAUUAUUCAAUCAAGAAUGAUCGAGUUCCUGAUUUUAUUAAUAAAAUCCACUUGUAUUCAAACAGUGAUAGUAAAACCAAGUUUGAAAUCAAUCAUCAUAUCCAUACAUACCAUUUUAAAUAAGUAAACGCGUUAUCAAUUCAACUCCCUAGUCCAAGCACCGCUUUGAAAACUCAAGCCGACAAAGUUUGAACCAACCAGUGAUCAACAAUUACGAUAACCAUAGAAACAAACUAAGUUUGCGUCCCUUGUCGAAAAUGUGUGUGUGUUGAUUAAAAGGAAUGGACACUUAACUUGAAACUGCUGGUGUCCACUGUUCUAGCUAGCUACAUGUGUAGUCGUCCUAUAUUAAUGACUUGAUAACAUAGUUGAACAGUAUUGGCAACAUCCAUCAUUGCAGAUUUCAUACUGCAAAACAUAGCUUAAUUUUCAAGUUCAUACUAUCCACAUGCAUUGCUUAAUCGAUUUAGAUCACAAUCACUAUUAGUGUAGCUUCAUUUUUUUCUUGAGGCUAAUAAUCCUGUACGUGAUGUUGUUUGAUUCACAUCUUUCUUCAUAAUUUCAACAUGUUUCAAUUAUUGUAGAAUCCUGUCAUGGGUGAUUGGGUAAAAGAAACAAGAAAAUACAGGACCUUAACCACAUACUAGAUCAAACGUUGAUAAAAGAAAAGAAAAUGCAACUGUCUAUCGAUUCUACAUAAGGAUCAUAGGACAUGCAACAAGAAAAAUCUAAUUACGUUCAGUACUUUCAACCCUUCAAGCUUUGCUUUCUUCGUUUGAACUAUCACGAGCAAUCGGAUUCGGGUUCUCUAGCUGCACUUCUCCUUUCCCAUUGUCACUACCAGGCUUCUUACUAACCAACACAUAAUGUCUUGCAAACAAAUUGAAGUACACAAAAUUCACAGCCCCCAAAGCAGCAAUGAUGUAGUAGUAGCAGUCGAGCUUGUUCUUGUUAAGGUCGUGACCUCCAACCCAUGGAGAUUUUCCCUCAGUCGCCUUGUGUACCAUGUUGGCUACGAACGAGCCUAAGUAGUUCGAAACCGACAAGCUAAGGAAGAAGAUUGCUCCAGCAACAGUCCUCAUGCUCUCCGGCAUUUGCAUGGUGAAGAACUCCAUUAUGGCAACAGCAGAAAAUGCCUCGGUCAGUCCCGUCAAGAAGUACUGUGGCAACAGCAAUGCGAAACUUGUGGGCGAAACAAACAAGCCAUGCUUCAAUGCAGAUUUCCUUCUGUGUUCUUCUACGAUCCCAGACACCACCAUUGUCACAACCGAAAGGACGAUGCCUGUAUUGAUUCUCUGUGUCAUUGUGAAUCGAAGAUCGGUUUGCGACGAUCUGCUGAAUUUUUGGCUAGAGGGAGGUAAAUCCUCUCGUAAGUCAAGAUCCAUAUAGCAAGUGCGAGCAUGGAGGUUAUGUUCAUCCAACCUGGUGGGAAAGAAACUUCGGACCUAUUGAUCUGUCCAUCUGCAAAGCUUNNNNNNNNNNNNNNNNNNNNAAUCCCAAGGUCUUGUAACGGCCGAAAUAUGUAUCGCAUAGGAAGGCUCCUAGCAAGGUAGCAACGUUGAUGGUGCCAUUGAAGAUAUUGACAAGAUUUGUAGCUGUGAUGCUUUUCAUGUUGAAGACUGUGGUGAGAUAGACCAACAGGUUGGAUGAGGUUCCCAGUGUUCCUAGCUUCUCAAAGGUCUCAUUCCCUGCAAUAUAUAAAUAACUGGUUUCAACUACAUAC
rnacentral:lncRNA from 1 species